CCGAGUGAGGGCCCUCUGGGUCCAACCUCCCACCCGUGUUUACCAUACCCUGUUGCUUCGGCGGGCCCGCCCUCAGCGGCCGCCGGGAGGGCCCCUUGCGCCUCCGGGCCCGCGCCCGCCGGAGGUACGAAACUCUGUAUUAUAGUGGCAUCUCUGAGUAAAAAACAAAUAAGUUA
rnacentral:misc_RNA from 1 species